rnacentral:rRNA from 1 species
GGCGCGUGCAUAACACAUGCAAGUCGAACGAUGAAGCAUUCUUCGGAAUGUGGAAGAGUGGCGAACGGGUGAGGAACACGUAAGAAUCUGCCCCUCGGUCGGGGACAACCCUUGGAAACGAGAGCUAAUACCCGAUACGCUGUGGAGUGAAAGAAUUUCGCCGAGGGAUGAUCUUGCGUCUGAUUAGCUAGUUGGUGUGGUAAUGGCAUACCAAGGCGACGAUCAGUAGCUGGUCUGAGAGGAUGGACAGCCACAUUGGAACUGAGACACGGUCCAAACUCCUACGGGAGGCAGCAGUGGGGAAUUUUCCGCAAUGGACGAAAGUCUGACGGAGCGACGCUGCGUGAAGGAUGACGGCCCGCGGGUUGUAAACUUCUUUUCUCGAAGAAGAAUCAAUGACGGUAUUCGAGGAAUAAGCAUCGGCUAACUCCGUGCCAGCAGCCGCGGUAAGACGGAGGAUGCAAGUGUUAUUCGGAAUGAUUGGGCGUAAAGAGUCUGUAGGCCGUAUGGAAAGUCUUUUGGUUAAUGCCUCGGCUCAACCGAGAUCCAGCAAAGGAAACUUCUAUACUUGAGGGAAGUAGAGGUACAGGGAAUUCCCGGUGGAGCGG